AUUGAACGCUGGCGGCAGGCCUACACAUGCAAGUCGAGCGGAGCGGCGGACGGGUGAGUAAUGCCUAUGAAUCUGCCUGGUAGUGGGGGAUAACGUCCGGAAACGGGCGCUAAUACCGCAUACUAUCAGAUGCGCCUAGGUCGGAUUAGCUAGUUGGUGGGGUAAAGGCCUACCAAGGCGACGAUCCGUAACUGGUCUGAGAGGAUGAUCAGUCACAAUGGGACUGAGACACGGUCCAGACUCCAACAUGAGCGGGAAGUGGGGAAAAGUGGAAAACGGGUGAACGAGAGAUGCAGCCAUGCCGAGUGUGUGAAGAAGGUCGUUGGACGGUGAAGCACUUUAAGUGGGGAGGAGAAACCAACAGAAGAAGCGCCGGCUAACGUCGUGCCAGCAGCCGCGGUAAUAC
rnacentral:rRNA from 1 species